GACGAACGCUGGCGGCGUGCCUAAUACAUGCAAGUAGGACGCAGUUGCGAACGGGUGAGUAACACGUGAGUAACCUGCCUUAGACAUUGGGAUAGCCUCGGGAAACCGGGAUUAAUACCAAAUGGUCUAAGAUGGACUCGCGUCCCAUUAGCUAGUUGGUGAGGUAACGGCCCACCAAGGCGACGAUGGGUAGCCGGCCUGAGAGGGUGAACGGCCACAUUGGAACUGAGAAACGGUCCAAACUCCUACGGGAGGCAGCAGUGGGGAAUAUUGCACAAUGGGCGAAGCCUGAUGCAGCGACGCCGCGUGGGGGAUGAAGGCUUUCGGGUUGUAAACCUCUUUCGCUAUCGAACGGGUAGGUGGAGAAGAAGCGCCGGCUAACUACGUGCCAGCAGCCGCGGUAAUAC
rnacentral:rRNA from 1 species